CCGAGGUUCUACGUACGUAGACGGUUUUGUACGUCCUCGGGCGUCAGGACGAACGCUGGCGGCGUGCCUAACACAUGCAAGUCGAACGAAGCUUGAAUUCAGAUUUCUUCGGAAUGAAGAAUGAUAUGACUGAGUGGCGGACGGGUGGAGUAACGCGUGAGCAACCUGCCCUUCGGAGGGGGAGUAGUGUCUGGAAACGGACAGUAAUACCGCAUAACGUAUUUUUUACCGUCAUGAUAGAAAUACCAAAACUGAGGUGCCGAAGGAUGGGCUCGCGUUGGAUUAGAUAGUUGGUGGGGUAACGGCCUACCAAGUCAACGAUCCAUAGCCGGACUGAGAGGUUGAACGGCCACAUUGGGACUGAGACACGGCCCAGACUCCUACGGGAGGCAGCAGUGGGGAAUAUUGCACAAUGGGGGGAAACCCUGAUGCAGCAACGCCGCGUGAAGGAAGACGGUUUUCGGAUUGUAAACUUCUGUUCUUAGUGAAGAAAAAUGACGGUAGCUAAGGAGCAAGCCACGGCUAACUACGUG
rnacentral:rRNA from 1 species